rnacentral:lncRNA from 1 species
CUCUCUUCUUCCAUCUGUACCUAUUCAUCUACAUACUCAUAUUCAUCAGUUGGGUCUCAGUCUGAAGAUCUUACUCUAGAGAAAUACUCCCUGGAUUAGGAACAUAUGAAAAGAUAUAUGGAGUCCCUCCGGCCAGCUCUGAUUUCUGGAAUUAGGGAGAAGAAAAUGGUCUUUUUCUAUAGUUUAGGAAAUAGUCUCCUUUCAGCUUUGGGGAAACACCAGAGUUCCCAAUCUGGUUCUGUCAGUUUCUCAAUCUGAGACGUCAUACACUUGGUUUAACUUAAGAUUCCGUUUCUUUGUCUGUAAGAAUGGAGUGUUACUCAUAUCAUGGCUACCCGGCAGAACACUUUUUGUAAGUUUUCCCGGCAUAACACCCAACACAAGGAGGUAAUAAAAGAAUAUUGGCUUCCAUUUUCUAUCUCUAAUUCAACGUACAGAAAGUUUCUCUCGGUUUUAUGGUAGCCAUUUUAAGUCUCCAGGUCUAUCUAGCUUUCGGAUAAGUCUAUCCUCUCCUGGCAGUAGAAAUCAUGCAUCCUGAGUGAAGAAGAAGUAGCUACUUCUCUUUAUUCCUUUCCGGAUCCUCCCCUGAAGUGAAGCAUACUCAAAGACAAAAAGCCUCCCAAAGUCAACAGUCAACACGGCUGCGGAAGACGACGAUGCAAACCCUUAGGGACUGCGAUGGCUCCUCUGAGCCAGUCUGCUGACCCUGACGUGACCUAACCUGGUGGGAAGUGGUGGAGCGGACUGCGCAUCCGUUUACUCUGGUCGCAGAGAACGAGAGGAAGACUAAGCCACAGCUCCUCUUUGGAAAGCUUAUUUCCAGACUGGCAACACUUUUUGACACUCACCAUAAACUGUUAUGAUUACUAGUUUGUGAAUGGACUACUUGUGGGAACCUCCAUGACAACUUUGAACGCCCAGUAGCUAUCCCAGGGCUGGGGGCAGCCGGCUUUAAGUAAUGUUCACAAAAUGAUGAAUGAACGAAUGAUCUAGGACAAAAUAACUGAUUCAAAGGGCUCCUAUAUAAAAAGCAUCGUGGAAAACAGUGUCAUUAUUGUGAUUAUUUUCUAAUUUUCUUCCUUGGCACCACACGGAAUAAGCCUUCUCUCUCUUCUGCAAGAGGUUUCAGGUUUUUAAAAACAGCCACUCUCUCUCCGAGAGAUCCCUCCUCCACGCUAGGUAGACCCAGCUCUUUCCACACUCUGCCGUGACUGCGAAUUCCUCAGCCUCUGUACUAUCAGGUGCAGCUCCAAGUGACUGAAAACCUAACCCAUCAUAGUUUCAACAAGAUACUCCAUCUUGGCAAAAGUCAGGGAGAGUGUCUUGCUGGCUUUGAAGAAGGAAGCUGUCGUGUUGGGAGAAGGCCACCUGGCAAGGCAGUCUCUAGGAGCAGGGAGUGACCCUGGCCAACACCCACCAAGAAACAGGGACCUCAGUGCCAGAACCUGAAGUUACUGAAUUCUGCCAACAAUCUGAAUGAGCAUGGAGGAGGAUCCUGAGUUCCAGAUG